rnacentral:tRNA from 1 species
GGGCAUUUAGUAUAAGAAAAACAUUUGAUUUCGGCUCAAAAGCUUGUGGUUAAAAUCCGCAACUGCCCA